AGAUGUGCUCCCCCUGCUUGGAGACAGUGGCUUGGUACAUACGGGACAGCUCCAAACUCCUGAUGACUCCAGUGUGCUCACGAGGUGACCUGGUAGCCAUGUGUACCUGUGUAAGAGGAGAAGUUUGGGAACGUUGGCAAGUUUAUUCCUGAGUACCUUGGUUAUGGCAGAGCACAUCAGCAACAAACUGAUCCCUGUUACACUGAAUUACAUCACUGCUGCCAGCGAGGUGGGAGGAGAAGUACUGCAUCAUGCCUGAUCGCUGGUACCAGCGGUGUAAAGGAGUUUGGUGUCUAUGAGCAGCUCCAACGACAGGAAAAGCACCACCAGGAUGACACAGGCCACCAGGAUACAGUUGAAGCCAGCACUGAGCAGACAGACCUGCCACAGGGCCACUCGACGACCGCAGCAUGGCUUCAGCCAGUUGGAC